rnacentral:rRNA from 1 species
GCGAGCGGCGGAUGGGUGAGUAACACGUGGGGAACCUGCCCCUAAGUCUGGGAUACCAUUUGGAAACAGGUGCUAAUACCGGAUAAUAAAGCAGAUCGCAUGAUCAGCUUUUGAAAGGCGGCGUAAGCUGUCGCUAAGGGAUGGCCCCGCGGUGCAUUAGCUAGUUGGUAAGGUAACGGCUUACCAGGGCGACGAUGCAUAGGCGAGUUGAGAGACUGAUCGGCCACAUUGGGACUGAGACACGGCCCAAACUCCUACGGGAGGCAGCAGUAGGGAAUCUUCCGCAAUGGACGCAGGUCUGAUGGAGCAACGCCGCGUGAGUGAAGAAGGUUUUCGGAUCGUAAAGCUCUGUUGUUGGUGAAGAAGGAUAUAGGUAGUAACUGGCCUUUAUUUGACGGUAAUCAACCAGAAAGUCACGGCUAACUACGUGCCAGCAGCCGCGGUAAUACGUAGGUGGCAAGCGUUGUCCGGAUUUAUUGGGCGUAAAGCGAGCGCAGGCGGAAAAAUAAGUCUAAUGUGAAAGCCCUCGGCUUAACCGAGGAACUGCAUCGGAAACUGUUUUUCUUGAGUGCA